GUCUUUUUGUUAUUUAUUUAAAGUUUGGCCUGCUCCAUGACUAAGUUAAAUAGCCGCAGUAUCUUGACUGUGCAAAGGUAGCAUAAUCAUUAGUUUUUUAAUUGAAAGCUGGAAUGAAGGGUCGGAUGAGAAAGAAUCUGUCUCACUCUAAUAUAUUUGAAUUUUAUUUUUAAGUUAAAAAGCUUAAAUUUUAUAGAAAGACGAGAAGACCCUAUAGAGUUUAAUAAGUCAAGAUUUGAUUACCUGAGGGUUUAAAUGUAAUUAUUUUUUUACUUGUUUUGUUGGGGUGACAUUAGAAUUGAGUAAACUUCUAAGUAUUUAUACAUUGAUUUAUGAAUUAAUGAUCCUGAUUUUUGGAUUUUAAGAUCAAAUUACCUUAGGGAUAACAGCGUAAUCUUUUUGGAGAGUUCUAAUCAAUAAAAGGGAUUGCGACCUCGAUGUUGGAUUAAAGUUAAGUUUCGGUGUAGGAGCUGAAAUUUUGAGUCUGUUCGACUUUUAAAACUUUACA
rnacentral:rRNA from 1 species